CGGGAUGACGGCCUUCGGGUUGUAAACCGCUUUUGAUUGGGAGCAAGCGAGAGUGAGUGUACCUUUCGAAUAAGCACCGGCUAACUACGUGCCAGCAGCCGCGGUAAUACGUAGGGUGCAAGCGUUAUCCGGAAUUAUUGGGCGUAAAGAGCUCGUAGGCGGUUCGUCGCGUCUGGUGUGAAAGUCCAUCGCUUAACGGUGGAUCUGCGCCGGGUACGGGCGGACUGGAGUGCGGUAGGGGAGACUGGAAUUCCCGGUGUAACGGUGGAAUGUGUAGAUAUCGGGAAGAACACCAAUGGCGAAGGCAGGUCUCUGGGCCGUUACUGACGCUGAGGAGCGAAAGCGUGGGGAGCGAACAGGAUUAGAUACCCUGGUAGUCCACGCCGUAAACGGUGGAUGCUGGAUGUGGGGCCCGUUCCACGGGUUCCGUGUCGGAGCUAACGCGUUAAGCAUCCCGCCUGGGGAGUACGGCCGCAAGGCUAAAACUCAAAGAAAUUGACGGGGGCCCGCACAAGCGGCGGAGCAUGCGGAUUAAUUCGAUGCAACGCGAAGAACCUUACCUGGGCUUGACAUGUGCCGGACGACCGCGGAGACGUGGUUUCCCUUCGGGGCCGGUUCACAGGUGGUGCAUGGUCGUCGUCAGCUCGUGUCGUGAGAUGUUGGGUCAAGUCCCGCAACGAGCGCAACCCUCGCCUCGUGUUGCCAGCGGGUCAUGCCGGGAACUCACGGGGGACCGCCGGGGUUAACCCGGAGGAAGGUGGGGAUGACGUCAGAUCAUCAUGCCCCUUACGUCCAGGGCUUCACGCAUGCUACAAUGGCCGGUACAACGGGAUGCGACAUGGCGACAUGGAGCGGAUCCCUUAAAACCGGUCUCAGUUCGGAUCGGAGCCUGCAACCCGGCUCCGUGAAGGCGGAGUCGCUAGUAAUCGCGGAUCAGCAACGCCGCGGUGAAUGCGUUCCCGGGCCUUGUACACACCGCCCGUCAAGUCAUGAAAGUGGGCAGCACCCGAAGCCG
rnacentral:rRNA from 1 species